rnacentral:ncRNA from 1 species
GUCCUGCUCAGUACGAGAGGAGGAGCACGUUCAGACAUUUGGUGUCUCCGCCUGGCUGAAGAGCCGUCUGUGGGAUUAUGACUGAACGCCUCCAGGUCAGAAUCCC